GCUUUCCUCAGCACUACUAACACUCCUAGGAGCUAGCUAAGCCUUCUCUCCAAGGCUGUUGUCCUUGAGUCUCGUGCUGGAGAUUGAAGUCCCGGAAGGGAAGACAGGAAGGGAAGAUGGAGAUGAACACACCAUUAGGCUUAAGAAACUUGCUCAAGAUCACAUAGUAAAUAACUGGCAGAGCAGGACUGGAAACCAGACAAAUCAACUCAGGAACUGUGCAUAAGAACCAACAGAUUUGUCUAUGCAAAGGCAAAGAAUGGCUGCGUGGGUCCAGUGGAUUUAUUGUCACCUGGUGCAUCUGUCCACCAGCAGCCCAGUGUUCUGGCCAAUGGCACUGCUCCUCUAAGGCUGGCGUUGCCUCAAGGUGACUCUUUUCGGCAUAUAUUACCUAGAGGGGUACACAGUUGAGGGCCCGUGCAUCAGAGGAACUGAAGUACUACUCAGAAGAGGAGAGAGUCUGGAGGCACUACC